UUCAAAUCUUCCCCCCCUUACCCUGAGGUCCCGUUUUCUUCUUUAGUCCGUGAGGAUUUCACUGGUGCAGAAAAUAAAAAGGUCUCGUGGCGCUGAUGCUGCCUGCUGUCCCCUGCGGAGCCGUUGGACGGGGAUGCUUCGCCCUCAGCCGUUCUCCCAGCCGCUCAGAGGCAACAGCGGCUACAAAAUCACCCCUCUUCCUCCAAUAUUUAGAAGGAAGAAAAUGCAGGCCACUAUUCGUGCCCCCCAAAGAAGGGUAACUUGGCAUGCGCUUCCUAAAAGUAACCUUUGUCUGGGAGAUUUUUGUCCCAAUCGUUUUAAAUUUUCCACCCGGGCUGAUUUAACAAAAAGCUCUGAGUUUGAGAACAAACACAAAGUCCUAAAGCAUUGGCUCUCCGCGGCAGGGCCCCAGCAUGGGCCGGGGUUUGUGACCUGCCCGGUGACAAGAACACCCCAAAGGCCACGGAGGGCGAAGAGGCACCCCCUCCGCGGCUGCGCAAGCCGGGUCUCCAGGCUGGUUUGGUGCUGGGGGCUCUGGAGUGCUCCAGCCCCCCGACUCUGGGGAUGUGGCCAUGCAGCACCCGCUUCCCGGGAGGGGCUCAGCGCCUCGCAGCAGGGCAGGAUCCGACCCAGCCCGUGGAAGUCGUGUCGGCGCGGGCGGGAGCAGUGACUCAGGGCCGGCCGUGCGGGCACGCCGGGGGACGCCUCUUGUGUAUACAGCUUGGCGUGUGUGCAAACGCCGUGGGGCUGCGGCCGGAGGGCACAGCCAACUUCCAGCCAAGCUGCGAACGUCAAACCUGGCGGCUCUGCCUCUGUCAUGGCACGGUUCGACAUGGGAGAAAAGCUUCAGACCCUGGAGUCCUGAGAUGUAAUAUCGAUAGAAAUAUUCCUGUAAGCAAAGUGUCUGGCUAUGUGGGCUGCAGAGAAUAAACUGAAAACAUGGAGAUUUCAAGGCUUAAGAAAGAAAAAUCCUGGUGGUAAAUACGGAGUAGCUCAGAUUCGUUGUUCCUUAGAAGUGUCAUGGCUUUUGGGAAGCACUACUGAAUUUUGGGAACUUCAGCCUCUGCAGUGGCAAAAUACAUUUCCAUCUACCUCUGGAAAAAGUGGGAAACCAAGCAGUUGUCUGAUAUGGUACUCUGUCCCAGUUUUCCCGUUGUGAAGUGUUCUGACCAGCCUCCUCGAUGGAAAGGCUCUUCUCAGGACGAAAAGGCCCUCCUGCUCUCCUCAGCAUGGCAGCUCCCAGGCCAGGAGGAACCUACAUCUCAGAGGAACAAACCACUUGCGGUUUUUAUAACAGCCCUGAAUCCAGAUCCGAGAUCUUUUUACUGUUUUAUAUAGGUACAGAGAGGAUGGGAGCAAGGAAUUUUGGAUUUAAAAAAUAAAAAGUAAUAUGUGACUUGUUUAGUAAAUCUAGGCACUUGAGAAUCUGGCUACAUGGAACAUGGUUUCUUCUUUCAAGGUCUGAAGGGCUGUGGAAAUCUGUUUUUCAGGCAGUAGAGUAUGCAGAUUUGAUUCUGAAGGUCCAGAAGACGUCAUGGUCCCAAAACACUACUCCCCCUCGUUUUUUUUAUUGGAGUUUUAUUUAACUUUGCAAGAACGGGGGACAGACUUUUCACAUAAAAUCUCAGCCCGAAGUCAGCUGCAAUAUUAAUGCUCAUUAUCUGCUCCAUUUUUGAUAUCUGUAACUAGAAGCACUUCCUUUUUCCAUUGCAGUCCCAGUAUGAAGUUAUUGACUCAAAACCAUGGCAUUACACAGACACGCACUUACGAAUAUGGGUCUGAAUUAAUCUCUGGUGGAAGUCUUCCACUGAAGUUAACAAAGAUACCCUAGGGAUGAAUUUGGGGCACUCUCCACAUCACGGGCUGAUUUUCAUUUUGUACCUCUCUCCUCAUGUAUUUUAUGUGUCUAGAAAUAAUCUUCCAUGAGGGAGAAAUUGCACCGUGACUUCUCAUAAGCAAGGUACUGAAAGGCUGUGAUGAAUGGUGCAGCCCUUCCUAUCUAGUAGAACUAAAUUUAAUGUUCCUUGAAUUGCUUUGCUACACUUGAUUUUAAUGACAGUGUGUCUAAUGCUUUUCUUGCCUAAGCUCACUGAGUUUGCAGGCUGUGCUCUCCUUUCGCAACUUCUCUGCCACGUUUGAGCUGCUGUGACUUUGACCAGCAAACCUUCUCCACAACCUUGCUAAACUCCUCUUGCCGCUUCUCUCCGGCUCUUUGGCUGCAUCUCUGACCUCGCCUAGCCUCAUUUUUCACCCUCUCAGCAACCUCUCAGCCUCACCAGUACAUUUUUCAUCCGCUUUGGCAUGAAAACAUGGCUCCAAUUAGCUGGAAUGGUGGUCUGUGGAGGGAGAGGUGGAGGCCCAGCCUUUCCAGCCAGAGCAGGGAUCAAAGCGACUCUUUGGGCACUCUGGCUGCCCAGGAGACUUGGUGGCUUUCAUGUAGCCCGGUGGAGCCAGGGAGAAGGAGGGGAGAGCUUCCUCCUGCUGCUGCGCACUGGACAACGCCAAGUCUGAAGUUGAGCUUUGUGCCACGGCGGUUUUGAAGCACAGUCCUCAGCUGGUCCUACCCUAGCUGGUUUCUUCUUGUGUGGAGGAAACCCUCUGGUCCCAGGGUCAGUGCCGUGCACAGAGGGGUACCUUGCGAUGGGCCGGUUCGAAUCUCCUGCUCACGCCUGAGGCUUCGCAGAAACAAGCUGAGCAAAGCCAUGUGUUACGAAGAACUCCUGGAACGAUUUUAAGCGAGCAAAGAUAUGCAGAAGCAGAAGUCCUGGCAAGACUUUAUUCUGUUCCCCAUGGAUGGGAAGAAAAUUAUGAGCGUGUAUGUUCCAUCUGACUGUACCUGGGCCAAUCUCUACAUAGAGUUCAGCCGUUGUCCAGCUCUUCCAAACCUUCAGCCCCACAUCUGCUCAGCCAGUGCUCUCCAGCAGCCAAACGUCGGGGUCCUCCUUGCAGGGAACAUAGGCCAAUCUGCAUACAAUCGUCACAGCGGGUUGAAGCUGAGGUCACCAUUGAAUAGUGUGUUUCCAAGAGCUGUUUGAUCAAACAGAAUUUACAGACCAGGACAGUUAUUGACAGGACUGACAAAAGUGAUGUUGCAAUGAUUUACAGUCCAGGUGUGUUGUCAGAGCAAGAUAUUUACCUGAGAUCCCAAGAACAGUUAAAAUUUAAUCCCUAGAGACCUUCUCUGGCUCUCCUGCAAUGUCUUGGCGGGUCAUAGCUUCUGGUCCGUUUGCAGUCACCAUGCAAAUAACCCAGAGUUUAGGCACUUUCAAGGGAAAUAAUAGCAGAUACAGUGAUUUAAAAUGUUUUUAAUGGAUAUAAAAUUUGAGAGGUGAACUGAUAUAGGAUGCCCUUUCCCUUAUCCCAAAUGUACAAUUCUCCAUAAUAAACUUCUUUGAAUAUAUACACAUUAGUCAGGAUUAUCUCUGAAUGUCUAGCAGGCUAAGAAUAUGGAUCCUGGAGACGUCAGCAGAAGGAUUCAUUAGAGGAGACAGCAAGUGCUUGGAAAUGGGAAAUGUAUUCUCUUAUAAACACAGCCUGCACUGGGGUUGACCUUAAGACUGAACAGAAUUGGCUGGAGAGACAGGGAAGG